UACGUAGGUGACUAGCGUUGUCCGGAUUUACUGGGCGUAAAGAGCGCGCAGGCGGUCGUUCAAGUCGAGUGUGAAAGCCCCCAGCUCAACUGGGGAGGGUCACUUGAUACUGAUCGACUCGAAGGCAGGAGAGGGAAGCGGAAUUCCCGGUGUAGUGGUGAAAUGCGUAGAUAUCGGGAGGAACACCAGUGGCGAAGGCGGCUUCCUGGCCUGUUCUUGACGCUGAGGCGCGAAAGCUAGGGGAGCAAACGGG
rnacentral:rRNA from 1 species